GGCACAUCUGAAGCCUGAUGAAUAAUCAAGACCUGGGAUGGCAAACAGGAUUCAUCUUAAGAACCAACUCCAACUGACUGACGUCUGAGGUCACCUCUUGGUGCAGAGAGAAAGCUCUCAGAAUUGAUGGGAAAGUAAUUUUGAAGCACUGACAUUCUGAAUCCUUUUAAAUGAUUGGAGAGAACAUUGUUAAUUGCAACGAAUCAGCAGGGAUGUGGAGAGAGAGGAUUCGAACGAAGAAACCGC
rnacentral:lncRNA from 10 species